GACAGAGGGUGCAACCGUUGUUCGGAAUUACUGGGCGUAAAGCGCGCGCAGGUGGUUUCUUAAGUCUGAUGUGAAAGCCCACGGCUCAACCGUGGAGGGUCAUUGGAAACUGGGAGACUUGAGUGCAGAAGAGGAAAGUGGAAUUCCAUGUGUAGCGGUGAAAUGCGUAGAGAUAUGGAGGAACACCGGUGGCGAAGGCGGCGAUCUGGGUAGAUACUGACGCUGAGGUGCGAAAGCGUGGGGAGCAAACAGG
rnacentral:rRNA from 1 species